UGCCUCACACAUGCAAGUCGAACGGCAGCACGGGGGCAACCCUGGUGGCGAGUGGCGAACGGGUGAGUAAUGCAUCGGAACGUGUCCUCUUGUGGGGGAUAACCAGUCGAAAGACUGGCUAAUACCGCAUGAGAUCGAAAGAUGAAAGCGGGGGACCGCAAGGCCUCGCGCGAGAGGAGCGGCCGAUGCCGGAUUAGCUAGUUGGUGGGGUAAUGGCCCACCAAGGCGACGAUCCGUAGCUGGUCUGAGAGGACGACCAGCCACACUGGGACUGAGACACGGCCCAGACUCCUACGGGAGGCAGCAGUGGGGAAUUUUGGACAAUGGGCGCAAGCCUGAUCCAGCCAUGCCGCGUGUGUGAAGAAGGCCUUCGGGUUGUAAAGCAC
rnacentral:rRNA from 1 species